AACCUGGAUGGUUUGGAUCAUGUGAUCAUUGAGGGUGUGGCCCCAGUUACGGCGACACGUUGUUUGUGUGAAGUAAGCACUUGGCGCACAUUAGAAGCUCGUAACAUCCAUCUCCUACAAAUGGGGAAGAAUCUCAAAUCGUCUCUCCAUUUCACUUCUCCUCUUUCCUCCCCCUUAGAAAAUACCCAGCCGUAGCUCUCUCUCCCUCCCUCCCUCUCUCUCUCUCUCUGUGCUGCAACCGUUUUUCAUCUUCCUCUUGAAACCCUAACCCUAGUUUCAGCAUUUCAAAGCAUUUCAACUCUCAAAAAUCGCCACAAUUUCAAAUUCUUGCAUCUGAUUUCUAUCAAAUCCUGGGAAUUCUGAACUUCUGAUUAUCUCACGAGAGGAGUUGCUGAAUCUGUUGUUGUUUCUCUCGAUUGAGACCCUAAGAUUUCGGCAUUCUGAGUAGGUGGCAGCAGGGCUGGGCCCAAGAUCGAGGAGGUGGACUAAGGCUAUGGUGGGUUUAUUGGAAAAGAAGAUUGAAGAAACGCAAUUGGAAGAGAUGCAGCUUCAAUUGAAAGAAACUGAAAAGAUGCUAGUGAAGGAACAAGAGGCUAUGGACCAUGGUCACUUUCAAGGCCAUUCUUUUGAUAUUGUAUUAGCCUUUUAGUUUGUUAGACUGGCAAAAGCGUAGUGGGGCUCCUGGAGAUGUGGAGUUGGGCGGCAUAAGGACUAUAGCAUAAGCUCUUGCAAGGUCCAAAAAGGUAGAGUUGGCUAUUAAAACUUCAGAUGAGAAUGCAAACAAGGAUUGAUCAGAGAGAGAUUUCCAGAUGACUAAAAUUGAUCAUCUGCAAGCCCCUCGUGACCUUCCUCUUGCACAACUUUGUAUCAAGGUUUGAUUCAUCAUCUUGAGCUAUUUAUAGUUUUGUUGAAAACUUAAAUGUUUAAACAUGUUUGUUGCAUCAGGACAUGAGUACUCUAAUUUUUAAGUAUAUGACUUCCUGGCAGUUUAUAUGAUGUUUGUGUUUAUACGAAUGAAUAUUCCUUUGACGGUACUGUUUAUUGAUUUGAUAAUCUGUGUUAUAAACUAGGA